rnacentral:rRNA from 1 species
GACGAACGCUGGCGGCGUGCUUAACACAUGCAAGUCGAGCGGUAAGGCCCUUUCGGGGGUACACGAGCGGCGAACGGGUGAGUAACACGUGGGUGACCUGCCUCAGCUCUGGGAUAAGCCUGGGAAACUGGGUCUAAUACUGGAUAUGACUCCACGGUGCAUGUCGUGGGUGGAAAGCCUUGUGCGGCUGAGGAUGGGCCCGCGGCCUAUCAGCUUGUUGGUGGGGNGAUGGCCUACCAA